rnacentral:rRNA from 1 species
UUAUGCUGAGGACUCUAAAGAGACUGCCGUCGUAAGAUGUGAGGAAGGUGGGGAUGACGUCAAAUCAGCACGGCCCUUACGUCCGGGGCUACACACGUGUUACAAUGGGGGGUACAACAGGCAGCUACCUAGCGAUAGGAUGCUAAUCCCAAAAACCUCUCUCAGUUCGGAUCGAAGUCUGCAACCCGACUUCGUGAAGCUGGAUUCGCUAGUAAUCGCGCAUCAGCCACGGCGCGGUGAAUACGUUCCCGGGCCUUGUACACACCGCCCGUCAAGCCAUGAAAGCCGGGGGUACCUGAAGUACGUAACCGUAAGGAGCGUCCUAGGGUAAAACUGGUAAUUGGGGCUAAGUCGUAACAAGGUAGCCGUACCGGAAGGUGCGGCUGGAACACCUCCUUU